AACCGGCUAAAAUUCAAAUGACACAUCAAGGUGAUCCCUUCCAGGCCUGCGAUCCCCUCUCUGUCGCGGAUGACGCGAUGAGCGACGCGUUCGCAUCUUGAUAGAGGAAAAGACGGAAUAGAUCCAACAAGUAGUACAUACGUGCUCGGUACGCAAGAACGAGUAUUACAAAUAGCAAGAAACAAACAUGAACACAAUGCCUUAUCAUGAUUGACUAUUAUUUUCGGGACUUUAAACAUUUUCCAAGCAAUAGCCAAUUGCAUGACAUCACUACGUAAUAUUUUAUCUGUAUUUUCUGAAAUUUUCUUUCUCUAUCAAAAGGAACUAAACGUCAGAAGUUCAAAGAUUGUAACGGGAAACACAAUAAAGUAAAAUAGGAGCAUUCAAGAAUCGGCAAGGAAAUUUUAUUAGAUACAAGAGGAUGACAUUGCAACUGUAUUAUAUAAAAAUAAUUAAUAAUACCAGUGACUUGUAUAAAGGCUCACAUUGUAAGUACAACGUACAAUUUAUGUAAUAUUUAUACGUUGAUAAAUGCAAAAGUUGCAGCAGCCUAAGCGAUCUAUUAACAUCGCGAAAUACAUAGUUAACAUAUACUUAAAUUAUCGUAUUUUUGAGAAGAUUAUGCACUAGUAUACAAAUGUAUUUGGUUGACCUUUAUAUAAUGAGGGAAAGAGAGGUCCUUUUAAGAUAAAGCACAUGUGUGUAUAUGUUAAUGAAUAUAUGUGAAGAUAUAUGAUGUGUGUAUGUGUGUGUGUGUGUGUGUAAUUAUAUAAUUAGUAGAAAUUUAUUAUUGAGUAAUAUAUUCUCACUUAUUGAUUACUCUGACUAAUGCUCACAAAGUAUAUGAAAAUAAAUAAAUACAUAUUUCAAAAUAGUAAUGCGAUAUUAACUUGGAGAUAAUAGAUGGAGUUCAGACAUUGAAUAUCUUGCAA